GUUACGCAUUAGUUAUUACCGGGGCACCACAUUGUCUCCUAUUUGGUUGGCGUCUUUAACCAAUUUGAAAGAGCUUUGUCUCUAUUACGCCAGGGAGUUAAUGAGUUUGCCUUCUUUGGGGAUGAUUCCGAGCCUCGAAUCAUUAACUAUAUCGUUUGCGCAGAGAUUGAAAAAAGUUGGAGUUGAUUUUUUGGGAAUAGAAUCUGAAAACAAGAAAGAAGACAUGAAAAUAUUCCCAAAUUUGAAAUAUCUCGAAUUCUUUGGUUUGGGCGAGUGGGAAGAAUGGAUUGGAGGAACGAGAGAAGGAGGAAAAGAAGACGAAGACUGUAUUACUAUAAUGCCGCGUCUUCAAAAGUUGACAAUUCACUACUGCAGAAAGUUAAAGUCGUUGCCGGAUUUCCUGCGAACAACUCCAUUGAAGGAAUUGGAGAUCGGUGACUGUCCAAUUAUCAAGAAACGUUGCCGAAGAGAGACAGGAGUGGACUGGCGCAACAUUUCUCACAUCCCAAUCAUCAAAUUAACUGAUACUCCAUUCCCUACGUUGCGGUAAACAAACAAUGACCUUUCCGUAAUUUUAUCAAAUUCUGGCAAAACUCACAACGACACUGUCAGCAAUGGUUUUCUGAAGGGCGUGUGAGCAAGUCUGAAUCAAUAAAGGUGUUUGAAGUACUUCAUUACAUGGAAGUGUGUGAAGUGCACAAAGUGACCAUCAAGGAUUCGGGCAAGAAGGAGACAAAAUACCUUGGAUUAUGUACUCUUCUACUUUCAAAUGCCUAUACUAUUUUCUGAGUUCGUGGCUUCAGCCUUCCUGCACAGUCAGCAACUUAUUUUCCAAGUACAUGAACCAAAUAAACUCUGGGUUCUGGUAGACUGGUACUGCAUAUCUCAUCUCAAAAGUCUAAGCCUAUUGGAGAAGAGUUGUCUAUACUGUUGAAAAUUGUUAGGCAAGGAUGCACCUCAAAAUAGAAUGCACUGAACCUCUUUCAUCAACAGGUUUAUCGUGGUUUGCCAUCCAAACAACUGUGGGAGUUGAGUACUUGUUUAACCAUAUGGCAAAGCAAAAGGCAUUAUAUCCAACAGGGAAACCCCAGCAGAGAAUUCACCAUUUGCUGAAACCAAUUUGUCAGUUGGUUUCUCAACUGGAAGAGAUGUGCCUCUAAGAGUGUCUAGUGUAUUAGAUGAAGAUAGAGGAAGAGUUGUAGCAGACAUAGAUCAAUGAAGAAAAUUGAGAUAUCCAUAAGAAAUGCAAGAGUCCAAUAUGGUUUACUAGUUCCUCCUAGUAGCAGCCGGAGGGUGAUACAAGUCAAACAAGUGGAAUCUCACUUGAGAUAGGGAGCAACCCAAAAACCUUGGUGGGAAUGGACACACACUAACGAAUAUCAGUUGCACAAUCUAAAAGGAUAUGCUUUCAGAUUCAGAAGCUUGGGAUGCAACUCAACUUCUAUAGUGACAUAUUGGAUUCAAAGUACAAAUCAAUUUAUUGCAGGUUCUCAAGAUUUCAUUUUCAUGUAUUGACUAUUGAAUAUGUAUUGAUUUAGGGUGUGUGCAUUAGUGCUCUAUAUUUUGGAAAAGUAUCUUAUGAGACUGUUUCAUGAGAA